rnacentral:rRNA from 1 species
AAUAGAUACCCCGGUAGUCCACGCCGUAAACGAUGGAUACUAGCUGUUUGAGCGCAAGUUUGAGUGGCUAAGCGAAAGUGAUAAGUAUCCCACCUGGGGAGUACGGGCGCAAGCCUGAAACUCAAAGGAAUUGACGGGGGCCCGCACAAGCGGUGGAGCAUGUGGUUUAAUUCGAUGAUACGCGAGGAACCUUACCAGGGCUUAAAUGUAGAUUGACGUAUUUGGAAACAGAUAUUUCUUCGGACAAUUUACAAGGUGCUGCAUGGUUGUCGUCAGCUCGUGCCGUGAGGUGUCAGGUUAAGUCCUAUAACGAGCGCAACCCCUGUUGUUAGUUGCCAGCGAGUAAUGUCGGGAACUCUAGCAAGACUGCCAGUGUAAACUGUGAGGAGGUGGGGAUGACGUCAAAUCAUCACGGCCCUUACGUCCUGGGCCACACACGUGCUACAAUGGCCGGUACAGAGAGCAGCCACUUAGCGAUAAGGAGCGAAUCUAUAAAGCCGGUCACAGUUCGGAUCGGAGUCUGCAAC